AUCCAGCUGACGAGUCCUAAAUAAGACGAAACGCGCGUCAAACUGGGU
rnacentral:hammerhead_ribozyme from 1 species